CAAAUAGGGCUCAAUCGGUAGAGCGUGAGGCUUCGAACCUCAAGGUUGUGGGUUCGAGUAUGUGCCGCCUACCUUCUUGA